UAUGCAGAAAUUUAUUUAUUGAAAACCAAAUGUGUACUUGGCACUGUUUAGACCCAGAGGAAAAGAGUAGGUUUGGUCAACAGGAUUUUUCUGCUGCAAGGUAGGAGUAAUGUCUUCAUGAAAUUGUACCUUGCAAGGGUGGAAAAAGUGACAUUUCCAUGGGAACAUUUAGCAAGACAGAGCAAGUAGAGCCAAAUCUGAUUGUAGUGCAAGGGCUAAUGCUGUAUUGGGGACAGAAGUUCAGCAUUGCACUUAUUAAUUCCUAAGGGUCUUGUUAAUUAUUAAGAUUACAGGUUUUGGUCUGAGAUAAUGAGCAUGGUAUAAGUGUCUAAUACUUAAGUGUCUAAUACUCUUUCUGAAUAAUGCUUUUCCCCAUAAGUUAACAGUAAUAAAAGCAGGUAUCUAUUAUUUCAACCCCAAAACUUUGUUUUUCUCUAUUUUGGAAUGAAACUGAAGCAAGACUUUUUAAAUCCCUGAAAAGGGAAAUUAAUAGAGAAGAGGAGAGGAAAGAAGAGAGGAGAAGGGAUUCAGAAAGCUUAAUAGUGCAUUGAUGAAAUAUUGUCUCUGUUUUCGAUCACUUUUUUCUUUUUUUUUUUUUCUUUUUUUUUCAGUGCACUUAUGCCUGGUACUUGGACAGACAGCUGAAUGUUACAAACCUGUCCACUUUUCCAGGCUCAAUUAUGUAUGUCAAAUCCUAUGUACAAGUAGUAUUUUUCACCUGCACUAUUACUUGGCAUUGUUAUUAAGAAAGAACGAAGAUCUUGCAUUUCACAGCAGCAGAGUUAGGGCUGACCUUUAGACUAUAUUUGAAAAAAGUGUAUGAAAUUUUCAUCAUAAAUGGGUAAAGAAUGGACUAUGAAGGAUAUUUAGCAUUGUUACUGUUUUGAACUGCAAACACACUAUUCUUGAAAAACCAUUCUGCAAAGUGGGUCAUAAUACUUUGAUACUGUACCACAUUUCACUGAACAAUUUUAAAGAGGUUUAAGUCUAUUACAGGCAUUUUCCCAUCUAUGUCAUGAAUAAUUGUAUAUUAUUAAAUAUGACACUUUUUGAUAGUUUCUUUUCUAAAAAAUCAGCAUGUAAAUAUUAUUUGCUUAAUAGCACAUUUUCAGCAAGCAAAAUACUUUAAACAAAAUGCAUAAUUUAUUUAUUUGUUUUAAGUGUAGCAGAAUCUUUUUUUAUUUUUUUUUUAUUUUUUUUUCAACUUAUUCUAAUUAAGCAAUUGUUUAUGUAAUUGCAACUGGUGAAUCAAGAUGAGUUUUUUGAUGGUGUGCUACACAAAGUAUUAUAAUGAAUCAAGGGAAGAAGAAUAGUUCAAUAAUAAAAUAUUGCUGGUAUGUUUAUUUGCCUUCCUCCAGAAGGGAUAUUUCUGAGAUGUUGGACAAAGAAUUUUAUAGGAUUUCUGUACAUAUUAUUUACACAAAACUUGUUUUUAUGCUUAAUGUAUCCACUACAUUGAAUUUCUGUCCUCCCUUUUGUAAGGUUUAUAUAACUACAAAUCCCAUAGGAAGGUCUCGUUACUUUAUUCGUUAUUUCAUUCUUUAUGUUGAAAAAGAAAGAUAUGCUUCUUUUGCUCUGAAACAUUGUAAAUGUUAGAAACUUCCUUAAGUUUGUGAAGUAGAUGGAUGGGGCCCCACUUUGCAGAGGCAAAUAUCAUAUUUUCUAAGAUGAUAUUUUAAAAAUUUGUUGACUUAUAAGAAAGGUGUUUCUCUUUUCUGAUCUUUUUUUUAAUCAAUUCAAUCCAUUAUGCUAUCCUGUUUAUUUCAUAUAUUGACUCAUAUACUGAUAUUUUGUUUUCUAAUGUUUUGCAUUUUUUCUGGAUUAAAGUAUAAUGUUUUUAUAUAUUUUAGCAAACACCUGGGUUGAAUUUCAGUUACAGUUUUUAGAAAAUAUCUGUAAUCACAAACAGUUCUAAAUCAGCUGAUAUUCCAUCUCCUUUACCUCUCUACACCGAAUUCCAGUAUUCAAGUACAAAUACCAUAUUUAUAAUUCAUACAGCCAUUUUCAUACAGAUAGAUGUCUUGUAUGGACCUAGGCUAGAAGUCUUAGUCUUCUGUUUAACAAAUUAAACUAAAUAUCAGUUCAUGUAAGAGUUUGCUCUGGAAAGAACCAGAAGUUCCUUUUAGAGAAAAGCCUGUGUUCAGGCCAGAUGGUAGUGUGCAACAGAAUUUAUAUCCUGCUUUCAGAAUGGACGUGAGAUCAUAUGCAUGGCUUGUCUCUCAUACUCUUCAGCAUGAGUGACAAAGAUAGUAUUGAUACAGCAUAGAGUGACAUUUAUUUGUCACCAGAAUUUCAGGAGACAGGUUGGAAGAUGAAACACAAAGAAAAAUGUGUAGGCACUGCUGUUAAAAAAUAGAAAACUCUUGAGCUCUUCCCCUUAAGAAAACAAGUUGCUGGUCCCAUCUUCAUUAUUCCUCUCUUUUUUUCUUUUUUUUCUUUUUUUUUUUUUUUUGGUAGUACUAACUACAUUUUGCCAUCUAGAGAAUAUUUGUGCAAGAGUAGACAGGGAAGUGUUUAUAAUUUAAUUUGAACAGUUCAGCUAGGAUAUUUGUUUAAAAAUUAUGGGGACACUGUCCUAAUAAUAUGCAUAACUCCAAAAAUUAAGCUUGAAUACUCAAUGUGCUCAGUCAAUGCAGACAAACAAUUUAUAUAAAUCAAUCAAUAUUUUAAAUAAAUUUAAGUUGAGUAAAAAUUCUAAACAACAACACUAGCACUGCACACGUAUUAAAAUUCAUUGUAAUCAGGGCAGUCAAGAAUACCAAUUCAUUGUACAGAGGGAAUGUUUUAGCAACAAUUCAUCAAAAUCUUUCAGACUUAGUUCCUCUCACUGAGUUUCAUAAAAUAUUCGCCAAUCAUCUCACAAUAUUUGAAGUUUAAUUAAUCACAGCAUCAAGCUUGUUCAAAAAGACACCAGGAGUACAUGGAAGAAAUGAAGGACUUAAAUUAUUCAGUAAUCUCACCUUCUAAGUUUCUGUAGCAUAUUAGAUUAAAAUAUGUCAGAAUAAUUCAUUUGGGAAACGAUUCAUUAAUAAAUGCAGACUAAUCAGUCAAAUGAAU